AGUGAACGCUGGCGGUAGGCCUAACACAUGCAAGUCGAACGGCAGCACAGUAAGAGCUUGCUCUUACGGGUGGCGAGUGGCGGACGGGUGAGGAAUACAUCGGAAUCUACUUUUUCGUGGGGGAUAACGUAGGGAAACUUACGCUAAUACCGCAUACGACCUACGGGUGAAAGCAGGGGAUCUUCGGACCUUGCGCGAUUGAAUGAGCCGAUGUCGGAUUAGCUAGUUGGCGGGGUAAAGGCCCACCAAGGCGACGAUCCGUAGCUGGUCUGAGAGGAUGAUCAGCCACACUGGAACUGAGACACGGUCCAGACUCCUACGGGAGGCAGCAGUGGGGAAUAUUGGACAAUGGGCGCAAGCCUGAUCCAGCCAUACCGCGUGGGUGAAGAAGGCCUUCGGGUUGUAAAGCCCUUUUGUUGGGAUAGAAAAGCAGCAGGUUAAUACCCCGCUGUUCUGACGGUACCCAAGGAAUAAGCACCGGCUAACUUCGUG
rnacentral:rRNA from 1 species